CCUAGCGUAUUGCGUAGUUCCGGUCAGUUUUCAAAAAAUAUCGAUUGUGCAGAUCAUCAGCAGAGCUUUAAAAUUAUCGUAAAUAUCAUAAGUUCAAGCUAACUACGUGUGGGAAGUGACAGUCGGUUCCAUUCGAAUGUCAUCCACAAACGACUUGUUAGAUCACAGUGAUACAACACCCUUCAAUAAGCCUGAACAAGUGUCAUUGGAGGCCAGGAAUGAGGCCAAGAUGUCACUGACUCUUGCUGUUGGUGCCACAUGCAACAGUGUAUAGUCACAAACAUGGUAUUGCGUUAAAGAUGUGAUCAGGUGAAGUUACAGUGGAUGUCACAAAGUGGUGACUGAAAACAACAAGAUAUGAGGCUCGGGGACAAUUCCUGGUCAAGUCAUACUUUGCAGAAGUUGUGCCUCUUCAGGAACACAUGUCCUCCCUUGCAAAGUAUCAUGUGCAUCCAUUUGGUUCAGGAAGACUAUGUGCACCAUCAAAGUCUGAGGGGAGAGAGUGGCAAUAACGCUGGAGGAAGUUGAUAUUUGGGCAAAAGACGGCAAUGAUGUCGGGAGCUUUGACGUAACAUGCCUGCAAACCACCAUCCAAUGUUGAGAACUUCUUGGAUGAUUCCCCAGUUGCCAUGACAAUUGCCAUUAGAGGAUGAGCUGUACUACACUGUCAGUGAUGUUGAAAUUGAGAUGUACUUUUCCACAUUUUGAUUCUAAACUAAUAAGAUGUAAUGUUCGUUUAUCAACCAAUUUCGAUAUAUUCUUUCCCGAAAAGUAACAAAUUAUCCAUUUUUUAUUCUCACACAUUUUCAUACCAUUACUUCAUUUCCCACUGCAUAAGUACAUUUUUGGACUUUGUAAUUUUUGGCUAGUCUGAUUUGUGCUUGGGUCACUAACAAGCAAACCAUCAAAAGAAUCACUUUGAACCUUUGGAAUACCUGUUAGCUAUUAAAUGUACAAAAUUAAUUAAAUAAACCAUUAAAGGAUAAAAUCAGGUGAGCGUUCAUUACCUGCAGGUGGUGCUCUUGUUAAAAAAAUAUUUUCACCUGUAUAAUAACUAUCACAUGCUCAUUCUAAAGCGUAUUUUUUUAUUCAUAUGUUUUCACAUACUGUAUCAUUGUGGAAUUUUUAAUAUUUAAACAUCUAUGUAUAUAAGCUGUUAAAAGUAAGGUGUUUAAGAAUCCAUACAUUUAUUGUGCAUAUUUCACAAACUUACCUGCUAUUUCAUACUUAAUGUUGAUAUUUUCCUAAUAUAGAAGGACAAUAGUGCUUGCUUAAUUCACUUCACCCUUUGUGAAACUGAUUAAAUAUGAUUGAUAGUGCUAACACAUGUAUUUUUUGUUAGAGGUAUUGCUGUUUAUGUUUUUCCUAACUCAUCAUGCCAGUAGUGCUUACAUAUAACUCAUGUUUUUACCAGUUGCUGUUUCAUACUGAAAAUUGGCUCAAGACCACAGUUAUCUGCCCCCGUUGACCCCCCGUUGACCAAGAUCCAGAUGUGAAUACAGAAAAAAGAGUGCUUGUGUUCAAGUAUCAAUAUUUUAUUAAAAUUGAAUGAAAAAGAAGCAAAAAAUGUUCUUUUUGCAGAGAACUUGACUGAAUUUGACACUCUAUUGCAGAAAUUGGUAGUUUUCAAUGUAAAUAUUGGAAAAAUCAUAGCUUGUGGAAGUCUGAAAAUUAGUUGUUUGUAGCCGAUUGACUCCCUGGUGGAAGGGUUAUGUAUUUGAACUCCAUUUUGACAGUCGGGUCAAUGGUCAACAUGGUGUUUUCUUGUGAUUAUAUUUUGUGUCUUGAAUUGUUCUAGAGAUGGCAUUGUCUUGUUUUUCAAUUGGGGUGUGUAUAAAGUCAAAAGCCAGGUUAGUGUCUAUAUGAAACAUAUAUAGUAAAAAUAACUGUGGUCUCACGCCAUAUCUAUAGAGGAAGCUUUUGGAGGGGUGGCCUAUUUUAAAUUGUUAUAAAUUCUUAAUUUAUACAGCUAUCUGGUUGAAAUUUGGCCAGUUGACAGUGCUUAGCCAUAGAAUAUUGGUGUUUGAGUAUGAAAUGUGAAAAUCUUAUAUUACAUAAUAUGAAUUAAUAAUAUAUAAUUUUCUUAUAUAUUUUUGACAUUUUUAAAAAAAAACUACUUUCACUUUCAAUUUAAUGUUUGGAAAUAGUUCCAAAUGAUGGUAACUAAUGAAUGAAAGCCUCACUUUCAAUUCCAAAGUAUUAAUGGAGGGAUUUUUUUAACAUAGGAAGCAGACCCAGGAGGAACUAUCUGUUGAAGAACCAGCCAGACAGCCCCCCCCCCCACCACCACCACCACCAAGCUGCCCACCAGAGGCCAAGCUGUACUUGGUGUUUUGCCAACAUGCUGUAAUUUCCAGCCUGGUUGCUGUAGCCACAGAGGAAUUUUCAAGGACAAGAACCAGUGCUGGUAAAACUGUGGUCUCGUGUGGUUUUCCAUACCAGCUCUCGGCAAGGAUUUUCAAGAAAGGAAUACCAUCUCCAAAUCAUGAUGUGCCAAUAAGCUCCAGUUAGCUGCGGCCUUUUCCCCAGGCGGUAGUCCUGCAAUCUGAAUCCAGGAGAUGCAGCUCUGAAUCCAAUAUUUCAGAAGAAUGAAGAUGUUAGUCAACUCUGUAGUACUUGUUUGUGUGUAAAUGAUUCCAAUGAGUGAGAUUUAUAGCAAAUCAGGUGUAAAUAAGCAUCUUAUAGACAAUGGUGAAGUGCUGUACUCUGAAUUUAAUGCCAAAUCUAGCCUUCAAAACAGAUUCUUAAAGUAUUUUUUUUUUAAAAAUGGGCAUAAUAAUGCUAUCUCUGCAUUUUCUACAUCAUGUAGCCACCUCAUACAUGAAAACACUAGCAGUUGUCAUGAAUCUUUAAGUUUUGGUGUGUUUUUUGCCAUUUCCUCUGUUGCGCCAUUUGUCCCGGAAGCCAACAAUUUGGCAUAUAGUGUUGUUUAGACUGUCUAUUAACACAUGAUCACUAAAUUUCUUGUGUUAAACUGAACAGUUCUGUUACCUUUGUAUACAAGUGGACCAGAAAAGCAAAAUUUUGACAAGUUGAGGCAUUUCAGUUUGGCCCUAUGUCAUUUUAGCCGAUGAAGUGGAAAAACCUUAUUUUGCUUAGAAAAAAAUCUUAAAAGAGUAGGCAGGCCAUUUUUGUGGUGCUGUUCUAUAGACACCAUUAAAAGCUACAAGGAAAACUUUACUUGGUCAAAUUAUUCCAAUGCAUAAGGAAAUAAUGGCUCUUCAAAGGUUUGCGGCUUAACAUUUGAGGGAAAUGGCUGUUUCUGCUUUUUAUGAAAAUACCACAGGUGCUAAUACUUGUCUCAUUCAUUUAGUGUUUGAUAUAUCAUUGCCAAACAUUCAGUAUGUGUUGCAUAUAGCCUGAAGCUGAACUAUAGGAGUUUUGAAGUCUGUUUCUGAAAAAAUGUUGCUUAAAUAGGCUCAAGACCACAGUUAUCGGCCCCCCGUUGACCAAGAUCCGGAUGUGAAUACAGAAAAAAAGAGUGCUUGUGUUCAAGUAUCAAUAUUUUAUUAAAAUUGAAUGAAAAAGAAGCAAAAAAUGUUCUUUUUGCAGAGAACUUGACUGAAUUUGACACUCUAUUGCAGAAAUUGAUAGGUUUUCAAUGUAAAUAUUGGAAAAAUCAUAGCUUGUGGAAGUCUGAAAAUUAGUUGUUUGUAGCCGAUUGACUCCCUGGCGGAAGGGUUAUGUAUUUGAACUCCAUUUUGACAGUCGGGUCAAUGGUCAACAUGGUGUUUUCUUGUGAUUAUAUUUUGUGUCUUGAAUUGUUCUAGAGAUGGCAUGUCCUUGUUUUUCAAUUGGGGUGUGUAUAAAGUCAAAAGCCAGGUUAGUGUCUAUAUGAAACAUAUAGUAAAAAUAACUGUGGUCUCACGCUUUAUGGAACGAUGGCAUAUAAACACUUUCAUGGAAUAAUUGCAAAAAAACUGAUUACACAUUGUAUCUGAUUUGAUUGUUUGUUUUAAUGAUACUUUUCUACAAUUCUGCUCAGUAUAUGUUGAUAAUGUAAAUUUAUAGAUUUGUUAUCACCCUCAACAUACAGUUUGCUCACUUUAAUACUUUUUCUACACAGACAAUAACUGAAUUUUUUGUUAAUAUAUUUAAUCCAUAAAAUUAUGUAAACUUACAUUCUGUUCUGAAUUGUGGUUUAUUCGAAGUAUUUUAAUAACAUUCCUAAAUAAUCGUGUUCAUAAAAGUCCUUCUUACACUGAAUGUCAGUCAAAAAGUCUGCUUAGCAGUUCAUUGUAGCUUUCAGUAAGAUACUAGUUUCACACAUGACCAGUUUGUGCAUUUCUCACUGAAAUUAGCCAAUAAUCAAAGCGCGAAGCGCUGAAAGGCCAUCUGCGGGCAAAUAUGUGAGAGUUGCAAAAUUUAUUUGAACUAUGGUGAAGGGCACAUAAAUAAAAGUGAAAAAUGUGCUGAGGGCCAAAGCUGCUUGUGCCCACACUGGGCGAGGAAACAAACAUAUCUUUAUCUAUUUUAGGGCGUCUUUUGUCAUUUUGUUUAUGUAAAUGUCACUUCAUGUAUUUAUGUUACAAUGCACGCCCCUUUCAAUCGUUUCUAAAGGGUUUUCGCUGCUUUGAUUAGAUAUCAUACAAUAGAAAAAUACAAUACAUCAUAUAUUUCAUUUCCUUUUAUGAACAUACUCAUUUUGUUUGAUGAAAAUAAUUUCUUAAACAACUCCAGCAAUAAUUCCAUUCAAAAUGCACAGCGUAUCACUUCAGUCGACGUCAUGAUCCCGGCCCAUGUAUUUAAAAUUACAAUGCAUGCCCCUUUCAAUCGCUUCUAAAGGUUUUUCGGUGCUUUGAUUAGAUAUCAUAUGUAAGGCAAGUUUUAUAACAUACACGUUUUAAAUGUUUGAGGAAAAUGAUUUUAUUUUUACGAGCAACUUUAGAAACAAUUCCUAUCAAAAUGCAGAGCUUAUCAGAUGGGUCGUUUUCCCGCGGUGAGGACAAAAAAUGUGGUCAGUUAAUAAAUGUAGAAACUAUUUUUAAAAAAUCUGUCAGUUUAUGUAGUUGAAACUAUUUUUAGAUUAUCGGAAAUUGUCUGUUCUAAGAAUGGGAAUAUGAUUGCGCUUUUUCAAGUUUUAUUGAUAAAUAAAUGUUAUUUAUGUGUUACAUAAAUAUCUGUGUAAAAAUAAUACAAGUAUGGUGAUGAAGGCUUCGCACACUUUAGAUGUUUUACAGGUUAAAUCCGAACUACUUUGGUUCAUCAAGCGUCUGCAUGACCCACUAUCGUAUCAGGGCAUGUAUGUUAGAAUAAAUUGAAAGCCUCAUGUCCAAAACAAUGGCAAGAAUUCACCGGAACGAAGCUAUUACGCAAAAAAAUGAAAACAUCUUAUUAGAAAAGUAUACGCCUAAAAAUUACAGAAUAAAUAGUAUUUUGUAAUUGUAUAGCAGGCAAAUCAUAGUAUUUGAAGCAAUAGCAACGCGAAAUUGAGAUACAACUAUUUUGACUUUUAGACAGUCAUUUUUUUUCUUAUCUCAAUAAAGUAAUAUCAAAUAUACAUCAUUACAAAUACGCGUGCUUCAGGGUCACUACAAGUUAUAAUAACAAACCCUGCAGGCGAUGGGACACUUGCGGUCGGUAAUAAUUUCUAGAACAUCUUGGGCUAAACACAGAGUGAAUAUCAGUAUGUUACCUUCCAACCAGAGCCUCCAUUAUUUUUACCCAUUAAUCUGAUAAAUAUAACGAUCUAAAAAUAGUUAUAUCCUGCUAAAAAUAAAACGCCGUGAUACAGAAAUACAGCGUGGAAAUAGCCGAACAACCAAGAACUGCAUCAUAACUACCACAUUCUCAACUAAAGAUUAAUAAUUUAUUCCAUGUUUUUAACAUACAUGUACAUUUUAUGCACAUUAACUUUCAUGUAUCUAUGUUUGAUCAAUUAAAGUCAGGUGUGUAAGAUUCAAUUUUGACAUUGAAUUUCUUACAGAACUGCAAUAUCUUAUAAUGCCCCCCUUCGAAGAAGAGGGCUAUAUUGCUUUGCACAUGUCAGUCGGUCUGAGUGAUAACUCAACAAAUCCUGGAUGUAUGGUCAUCAAAUUUGACAUGAAGGUUGGGCCUGACCAGUAGAUGACCCCUAUUGAUUUGAGGGCUCAUCAGGCCAAAGAUCAAGGUCAUUAGAUGGCACUAUUUAUUUUAGGGGUCAAAGGUCUAGGUCACAGUGACCUUGAAUAUGAAAAUUUGUUGGAGUGAUAACUCGACAAUGCAUGCACUCAUGGCCCUCAAACUUGACUUUUGUUGUGUCUGACCUGUAUAUGACCCCUUAUGAUUUUAGAAAAAGCUUGUUUGUGUGAUAACUUGACAAUGCCUUCAUCCAUGACCCUCAAACUUGACAUUCAGGUUUUUGCUGACCAACUGAUGACUUCUUUGAGGUCAUAGAGUCAAAGGUCAUUGUCAUAACACACUCUAUCCUCUCACUUUGAAUGGUCAUAAUCUUAAAACUGCCUUAACAGCAUCCAAGGACAGUGACUAAUCAGCUGUCACUUCGGUCCAUGCAUAUUUCAUUCAAUUGUCCAUAUAAUCCUGACAACAUGGUGCUCAGGGGAAGCACAGUGUUUGACAAACAUCUGUUGUUUUAUGUUCAUAUUUUUUUCUCAUUUAAACAAUAGUGCUGGCAGCUAAUGCUUAUAUCAUAAGUGUGUACUUUCAAUAUAUAUUAUAGACUGGUUGAUUAUGCUUAUACAUGUAUUUUUGUUAAUCUAAUUGCUGUUUUAGGACUCAUCAUGUGUGCAUUUUUUUUACCAGUUGCUGCUUUAAACUGAUACUAAUUGAAAAUGGUGCAUAAUCACUGAUAACACAUUGAAACUAAAUGUUCCAUUCAUACAUUUAUACAUGUCUUUUCAGUAUAUAUGUUGAUAAUGUUAAUACAUAUUACAUGUGCAUUUACUCAUGUGUUUCUUGCCAACCUCAUCAAAACAUGCAUAGUUUGCUCACAUAUAUAUCUACAACACAGUCAUUUACUGAAUUUAAAACUACUUUGCAUUGAUUUUGAUAUGUUAAUGAAGCAUAGUACUACUUGUUGGUACAAAACGCUUUUCAUUUGCUAUGGUGUACAUUUCUGUGUUCUGUUUGCACACAGAUGUCAUUUUCGAAUCAAUUUUUCAAAACUGACAUGAUAUUAAUUUGCAUUGUGAAACUUUUCAGUUGAAAACAAUCCUAACAUGUGGUAAAAUAAAUGUCUGAAUGUGUUUCAAAAAUGUGACCAUAUUAUGCAUAGUUACUGCAGUGAAAUAUGCAAUGACAUACUUUCAUAUCAACUCAUGUAUCUAUAUUUCCCUUUCAACUACUUCGAAAUAACUUCCCAAUCCUAAAAUAUUCUACAAACAUUACUUUCAUCUUGAUGUACGUUCUAUGUGUAUAUAUUUUGCCUGAUAAAAUUAAAGCCUGUCAACGUC